rnacentral:rRNA from 1 species
UUGAACGCUGGCGGAAUGCUUUACACAUGCAAGUCGAGCGGCAGCGCGGGGGCAACCCUGGCGGCGAGCGGCGAACGGGUGAGUAACAUAUCGGAACGUACCCUAUCGUGGGGGAUAACACAUCGAAAGAUGUGCUAAUACCGCAUACGACCUGAGGGUGAAAGCAGGGGAUCGCAAGACCUUGCGCGACAGGAGCGGCCGAUAUCGGAUUAGCUAGUUGGUGAGGUAAAGGCUCACCAAGGCGACGAUCCGUAGCUGGUCUGAGAGGACGACCAGCCACACUGGAACUGAGACACGGUCCAGACUCCUACGGGAGGCAGCAGUGGGGAAUUUUGGACAAUGGGCGCAAGCCUGAUCCAGCCAUGCCGCGUGCGGGACGAAGGCCUUCGGGUUGUAAACCGCUUUCAGCCGGAAAGAAAUCGUCAAGGCUAAUAUCCUUGAUGGAUGACGGUACCGGAAGAAGAAGCACCGGCUAACUACGU